rnacentral:lncRNA from 1 species
UAGGCUUGCAGAAAAGUAGCAAAAAUAGAGAGAUCAAAUAUACGCUUCACUCAUUUUCCCUAAUGAUAAUAUCUUGCAUAACCAAAGUACAAUUAUCAAAACCAAGAGAUAUACUGGUACAAUACUAUUAACUAAAAUAUAGAUUUUAGGCCGGGCACAGUGGCUCACGCCUAUAAUCCCAGCACUUUGGGAGGCCAAGGCGAGCAGAUCACUUGAGGUCAGGAGUUUGAGACGAGCCUGGCCCACAUGGUGAAAUAUGGUCUGUACUAAAAAUACAAAAAAUUAGCUGGGCUUGGUGGCAUGCACCUGUAAUUCCACCUGCUUGGGAGGCUGAGGUGGGAGCACCGCUUGAACCCGGGAGGUGGAGGUUGCAGUGAGCCGAGAUCAGGUCACCGCACUGUAGCCUGGGUGACAGAAUGAGACCCUGUCUUGAAAAAUAAGUAAACAAAAAUAAAUAAAUAAUACAGAUUUUAUGGAAAUUUCGUCAGUUUGCCACUAACAUUCUUUUUCUGUCCUGGGAUCCAAUCCAAGAAUUUCACUUUGCAUUACUUGUCAUGUCUCCUUAGUCCCCUCUCAUCUGUGAUAGCAACUGAUCUUACCCUGUCUUUAAUGAAACUUGACAUUUUUUAAGAGUACCGGCCAGUUAUUUUGUAGAUUUUUCCUCAAAUCGUUUGUCUGAUGCUUUUCCAUAAUUAGAUUGAGUGCAUGCAUUUUCAGCCCUUCUCAGAGCAUGAUUCCGGGGGGGGGUCUUAUGAUGUUGGUAUCCAACAUUAUUGCUGGUGAAGUUAACCUUAGUCGCUGUGUUAGCCAGCUUUCUCCACUGUAACGUUGUAAUUUUUCUCUUUGUAAUGAAUAUUUAUCUUAGAGUAGAUGCUUUUGUUUUUUGAGACAGGGUCUCACUUUGUCACCCAGGCUGGAGUGCAGUGGCACAAUCUCAGCUCACUGCAGCCUCAACCUCUGGGGGGUCAAGCAAUCCUCCUGCCUUAGUCCCCACAAGUAGCUGGACUACAGGGGCCUGCCACCACGCCCAGCUAAUGUUUUUGUACUUUUUAAAGAGACAGGGUUUUGCCGUGUUGCCCAGGCUGAUCUCAAACUCCUGAGCUCAAGUGAUCUGCCCACCUCAGCCUUUCAAAGUGCUAUGAUUACAGGCGUGAGCCAGUGCACCCAGCCUUAAAAAUAAAUGUGAUUAUAUAUACUUAAGGCAUACAACAUAAUGUUAUGGGAUACAUAUAGAUAGUAAAAUGGUUACUAUGUAAGCGCAUAUAAAUAUUUUUAUGUUCACUAAUGUGAAACAAUAAAGACAGCAAGCCAAAUGAAGAUAAUGUUAAUGGCAUUUCACACAUCUUAAAUUAGUAAUAACAGGUUACUAUAUAAUUAAUUCCAUUUCCAUCCUUUGCUUGCUAAACGUUUUUCAGGAUCUCCCUUUCCUGAAUAUUCAUUAGAUGCUUUACUGUGUGCCUUGCUUUAUUGCAGAUGGCAACCAAACACAAAGAAGUUUUCUGAGUUUUUUUAUUUUUGUUUUGCUGGAGUUUUUUUGUAUAUCUAUAUCUAGUCCCCUAGCCAACUGUUUUUAAACCUUUUAUGUCCUAGCACAGAGAAAAAAGUAGGAUGAACUAGAAGGUGUUUGUGGAUGUCCAUAUGGGGCUUGGUUAAAAAAAAUACAGUUGUGAGAAAAAUACAGGGUAUCAAAUUUGAAUGAAACCCAGAUACAAUAUUUUCAGAUAUUUCAAUUUGAAAUUUGAGCUUACAUAUUUAACCUAAAUGUUUUUCCUUUCCUUGCAUUGACAAAUGUAUUAUUGAAAUUCUUAUAAUAAUCUGAAGGAAUUUUGGAAUUUAGGUUUAGCUUAUCAAAUAUUUCUUGCCAAGUGCACAAGUAUUACAGCUGCCACCCCACAGGUAGUUGGAUGUCACUAAAAGGGCACAUCAGGAGCAAAUGAACAGAAAGAUCCCAUAAGCAUGAAGACAAAUGUGCCCAGUCAGCUGGACCCAUUCGGCCUAGCAUCGCUCCCAGCCUCACCCACUGACUCUUCCAGAAGCUCCAUGGACCACUUGUCCACAAGGGGCAGCAGUGAGUUCUGCAGCGGACUGAAGAAAUCCAUAGCUGGCAGUGAGGGAGGGCUUCUCUUUGGCCACGCUCAGUUUCACACGCUGUGGCCAGCACUUGUGUCUUCAGCUUCAGGAAUAACAGAGCCUACCCCAGAGCUCUCAGAGCCCACCCUGCCCAUGUAAACAGCGAAUGCAUCUCUGAUGUUAUCACUGUCUUCCAUAUCAGAGUGUGUCGCACAGAAACAUAGUCACUAGAAUAACUGUGGUGGUAACCAUAAUUUAAUUUAGAUGGUAAAUUAUCUCCCUAAAACCCAAGGUUAAGACUUUAGUUCCUCCAACCAUAAUUUCAACCCAAGCGCCUGCCAGCAACCCUUUAUACACACAGCCUGUCCCACUUCUCCAUCUUCACAAAGAUGUGGUACAUUUCUAGGUUACGCCCGGGUUUUCUUUCUUCCUCUUCCUUUAUCCCUCUGAAGCCAUCUUGGGCAAACCAUUACUUCUGCCCCGGAGUUCAUCUCCAUUUCCUAGGCCUAGUCCUAAUGCUGGCCUUGUCCAGUUAUCCUCAACAUGAGUUGCAACUGGGAAAAAGGUAUACAGAAGUAAAUUUGCACGUACUGAAAUUCUACUUGCUGUCAACUUAACUAAGAAUCAAUUACUGUUCACAGACAAUUUACAGCAAAAUAAGUGACUAUAAUUCAAACACACUUUCUGAUCAAUAGCAUUUGGAGAAAACUGAUACAGUUUUAGUGCUUUUACUUUACUAUUCUACUUUCUGCUAACAUCCCAUUAACGGAAAUGGUUUUUAAACAAUAGAAUGUCUUUGUUGAACACUCUCUUACAAAUUUUCGAUAAUGUGCCCAGCUUCUGGCUGCUUCUUCAGAGACUCCUCUCCUGACCCUCCUUCCCUCCUUUUUCCCAAAGCCUCAGCUUUCAAGUCCUAGAGAUGAGUGAGCCCUGGGAGUCACAUUCAAUAGAAAAGUAUAUACUUUUCAGAGCAUAUGCUUUUCUGGAGUUCGGAAGGGAAAUUCAUUUUUAAAAUCCAAUAGUUAUUUUCUUUUUCUGUCUCUCAUUUUGAAGUUUGAUGCAAUAAUUAACUUCUGUCUUUGUUCUGAGGGAACUCAGAUCCAGCUUCAGUUCCUUGUGAAAACAGCGUUUAAAAUUUGCAAUUCCUCAUGCUACCCAGUUUUGAAUAGAAGAAUAUGGAUAUCCUAGUCGUCUUCCACAACACAGAAAUCUCUUCAUGUUUCUCCUCCUGAGGGAUAGGAUAGCUUUGAGAUAUGAAUUAAGUUUCGAAAGAAAAUAACUGAAGAAGUCGUUGAGUAAAGGAAGAAGAGCUAUAAGGGUGAAGCUGAAGCCCAAGCUUCCAGACAAAGCAUUAGUAGACAAUUCACAGACCAAAUAUCAGAUCUUUUAAUAGAAUGGGUUUUCAACCUGGGCAAAUCUCAAGGAGAGUUUUCUGUUAGUGUCCAUGGGGAAAUAGUUCUUUGUAGAUAAAGUGAAAACGUCAUAGAUUUGGAAGGAAGUUGGAAUUAGAAAGAAGCAGCUCAGAAAUGGAGAUGCUCACUUUUCCUAUACACAUUCUUUGUUCCUAUACAACCAAAGCUUUGUACUUCUGUUUAUCCAAUUGUCAAAUGAAGAUGGUGCCACAUGUUCCAACUCUCAGUCUGGAAGGGGCUAAGUGAAAAACAUGGAUGCAUUAGACAUGGGAAGUUCUAAGAAAGUAGAAGAGCUGUAUUAAUGUCAGGCAGUUUGAUGUUGUUUAACUUUUUGUCAAGUAAGUCAACCUCUCUGGUCUUAUUGACGUUUGUGGUCCUAGCCAAUUUCCUCAUGUCAGCUUCAUGGUCAUUUGCAUGUGUAUUUUUUGGUUUUACCUUCCUGUCCUUUGCCAGAUUCUGGAUGUCCCUUCUACUUUUUCCAUGCAUAAUAAAACCAAACAAAACUGUAUUUGGACCAAUAUUUUAUCCAGGAUCCCCCACCCCAAGCAGUAUUAGGGUAAAAAUACAUCAACAUUUGGAAUCUUAGAUGUCAAGAUUCUCACCAAUUUAGGCCAUUAUUUUUCAAAAUGCAACAAUGGUCAUAUUACUAUGAUGAGAUUAUAGAUAGAGCUGCCAUGUAAGAUUGCACAGUUUGUGUACUGCACAAAGGUGCCCAUCCAGGAAGUGAGGGCUAACAACUAUCCAGACCCCACUCCACCUCUGCCUGAGGGAAAAGAUGUUUUUCUGCACCUUAUGAUUGUGAAGCCAUUUACUCAAGGUGCUGUGCCUGCCCAGAGAAAGCAUCCUUUUCCAAUUUGUACAAUAGUUGCAUACAGCCUAGAGAUCUUGAUUAUUUAGAUUUUGACAGAGGGGAAGAGGGGUGGGCAUGAGUGGGUGGACAUGAGUAGAGUAAUGGUCUAUUCUUUCUGCUUGACUCCAGCUCUGCCACCUCUGAGGCUACUGACUCUCCAGCAGCCUUUCCGGCUUCUCUCUCUUCCCAUCACACAUUUUUCCUCUCCACACUUUUUAUGCAGCUUCAUUCUUCUUUCUCCUCCCUUCCUAGUAUCUUUCUUUCCCUCUCAUCAUUUCCUGCCCUUUCCUCUCACUCCCAGGAGAUGGGCCGAUGGCCAAGUGCCAUCACUGUUAUAUUGACCUCCUUCUUGAGUCCUAGUCACCAAUAAUAUCACUAUAAUCACUUUGGAGUUUCUUCUCAUCAUCAAAUCUUGACACAAUUACAAAGUAGUAGAAGUCUUGCAUCUUUGCUUUAUCCUUUUCAAUACUCUGCCAGACACCCCCCUUUCCCAGCCAACAAGGGUCCAGAACUCCCAGUGUGGACAGAACUGAUAGUCUGUUAAACUUGUGUAAUAGUUCAUUAAACUGUUUAUGGCCAACCACAUUGCAUCUCCUGGGAGUGUUGUCAUUUAAAAAGCAGGUGCUUGGGAUACCAUGUUUUAGCCAUAAGGAAGGAAUCUCACAGGGGAGAAUUCAGAGCAGCUUUCUAGCUGAGGUGAAUGAUGGACAAUUUUUUUGAUAGAAGCACCCCCUCAAACCUGUGCUUACUCUGCCUUAGGAUUUCUUUCAGGUAUUUUCACAGAUGAUCUUGAGACAAAAUUGCCAGCCUCCACACCUGCAUCUCUUCCUCCUUGCUGCUUAUAUAGCUGAGCUUAUAAUCUCUUCUCUAGAGAGCUCAUAUCAGAGCUUUCAAAUUGACUGUCCCGAAAGUCAUGACAACUAUUUUCUCAGCCAGACUCAUCCAGAAGCUUGGAAGUCCAGCAACUACCCUUCCUUUAAUGUUAGCAGAACUCCUCAAACUCCUCUAUUUAAGUACUCCUAAUGCAAGAGUGAAACUGGAGGUUUGGGAGGGCUCAGAAGAGCAGGAUCCGAAAGGCCCCACCCUCAGCAUGAAGUUUCUUUUUAAGUCACUGUUUUUCUUCCUAUUUUUGUCAAUUUUGCAUUCUAUUCUAUAAUACAUCCAUUUUUGUUUUGAAGUAAAAAUUACAUUUCCCCAAGUCUUCAAGCAAAAUUGAUCCUGCAGAAAGGUGCUUGUUUAUUCUGCAGCUUCUGGAACCCUCAGGCCCUCCAGCUUGAGAAACUAGAAGCCUAGUUAAAAUCCAUAUUUCUUUGCAUGUUAUACAAGGACCUUCUUGACAGGUGCAUAUUUAUCUCUACAGUUCCAGUCCUCCAACCAGCUUCCUGCAGUCCAAGCACACUGAACUCCUUGAAAUUCUGUGACCAUCUUAGUGUUUCUUAUUUCAGAAAAAUUGCUUAUGCUGUUUCCUCAAACUAGAAUGUACUGUCCCCCAUCUCUCUGCCUAUCUUCUAGACCCAUCUGAAGGAUCAUAUUGCCCUGUGAAGCUCUCUAUGACAAGCCCCAACAGGCUGAAUAAGCUAUCCCUCCCUUUAUGCCACCAAAGUUCGCUCUUCUCCCAUAGUGUACAUGUCUCUUGAUUGUAAUUUGUUGCUUACGCUGCCCUUCUGCACUAGACUGUAAAUUGCUUCAGGGCAGGGUCUGUGUCUUAUUCCUCUUGGCCGUCGCUGGACCAGCACCAUGCCUGGCAAAUGGUAAGACAGGAGGUAAGUAUGGCUAUGACAUUUCACCCUAGUGCUCACCAGGGUUGACCUGGUUGAGCUGAAUGGACACGGGGAUGUCCCUGUCCUCUCUCUUUACUCCUCGAGUGUCCCUUCCAUUCUUUCUGUCAAAUAGGAUGGUCCCAGAUGAACAAAGACAUUCUAGCCAAGGAGUUUCAGAAACUUUCCAUCACUGAUGAGCCCUCCAAACAAGCUCUCCAGACCCAACACUUAGUAGGUUCUCAGUCAAUAUCUGCUAAAUAUUUUAAUGAACCAAUGAUCACCACAAUUGUUUCUCUGAUUAAGCAGUAUUAUAUUUUCUUAGUCUUAUCUUUCAGAGAUUCCUGAUGUCUAAAUCCCAGCGAUCUAACAAAAUAUCAACAUUUACUAUACAUUCAAUAAAAGUAUAAUAAGUAAAUAAAGAAAUGCACUAAUAUCUUCAUGUGUCCUUUCAUGUUUCUUAAAAUGUAUAUGCACAAACAGGGCAUGGUGGCUCAAGCCUAUAAUCCCAGCACUUUGGGAGGCUGAGAUGGGGGAUCACUUGAGGCCAGGAGUUUGAGACCAGCCUGGCCAACAGGGCAAAACUCCCAUCUCUACUAAAAAAAAAAAAAAAAAAAAAGCCAGCCUCCGUGGCUCACAACUGUAAUCCCAGCACUUUGGGAGGCUGAGGCGGGCGGAUCAUUUGAGGUCAGGAGUUCGAUACCAGCCUGGCCAACAUGGUGAAACCCCGUCUCUACUGAAAAUACAAAAAUUAGCCGGGCACAGUGGCAUGUGCCUGUAAUCCCAGGUAUUUGAGAGGCUGAGACAGGAGAAUCACUUGAACCUGGGAGGCAGAGGUUGCAGUGAGCCAAGAUCUCACCACUGCACUCCAGCCUGUGCAACAGAGCAAGACUCUGUCUCAAAAAAAAAAAAAAAAAAAAGUACAUGCACUUCCUAUUUUAACUUACUACCCUAACACCUGAUAUGUUUACCAGCCUGCUAAGGAACAAAGAACUGGGUUGCCACUCAGAAAUAAAAUUUCGACAAAUGGGUGAUGAUCAAAAUUUCUUUCUGAAAACCUUACCGGUUACCAGUGUGAUUAUCUUUUUUAAAUUACAGGCUCCAUUAGGAGUAGAACUUUUUUGAGUAGCUAUGAUCUCCACCAUGGCUAAUAUAAUUUAAUAUUUAUAAUACCAUUGUCCUCAAGGUAAGGACCACCUCUCAGUAUAAAUGCUCAACAGAUGUGGUGUUGAAGCAUGGCACUACUCUUAGGCAUUUUUCAUUUGUUUGUUUUUUUGAGACUGAGUCUCGCUCUCUAUCGCCCAGGCUGGAGUGCAGUAGCACGAUCUCAGCUCACUGCAACCUCCACCUCCCAGGUUCAAGUGAUUC